CAUCUGUAAAAUAAAAUCUCUUUUAAUCCAUAAUUAACCUGGAUUAACUAAUUAUUAAUCCUAUUUACCUUAAUUAAUUCUUAAUUAACUAUUAAUGACAGUAAUUAAGCAUUAAGGCUAAACAAUAAUUAAAUGCCAAAGGUCAUUAGGGUUAAUGACCUCAGGUCAUCACACAAUCCCAAAAUCACUCAACCCUAAUGAUGAGGAUUUAACUAAUUAUUAUUUAAUUAUUUUGGAAUUAUUACUUAGGCACUAAAUAAGGGUUUAUUAACAUUUUAACCAAACCUUAUCCAAAUGCCACCAAAUUUUGUGUGGAGCCAGGGAAUAAUAUUCAGAGGCUCCCCACAAUUUUUGGUGAUUUUUGGACAUACAAAUAAAUUAUUAAAAAUCAUACAAGUUUUAUUUGCUAAUUAAAAGGGCCAAUUUUUAUAUCCUUGCAAACUAUUAGAAAGCAGAAUCUAGUAUUUUUCUUGGAUCCUACAUAUUUCAGAGAGUUUAUACAAAAAUUCUCAUUAUUUUUGGAUCAUCACACAAUUUAUUACACAAAUUCAAAUAUAAAACAAAAACUGCAUAAAAGAAAAAAAAAAGAAAAGACACUGCAGCGGGUGGCCGGAUUUCGGCUCGCAGGCCGGCCCGCUUCGGCUCGGCCCGCGCGGACGCUGCGCACGCCGCCUUCUCUCCGCGCGGUCGCUGACAAGCGGGGCCUGCUCGUCAGGCCUCUCCACCCUUCCAGCG
rnacentral:lncRNA from 1 species